rnacentral:lncRNA from 1 species
GGCCUUGCUGGCAGAGAUCUGCUGCACAGGUCUAGCCAUCUGACGAGUGGCGACAGGGCAGCAAGGCUGUGGUCUGGAGGCUGUGCUGGGAGAACGACUCAUGGCUCUGCUGAGAGGCAUGGCGCACACAGGGGCCUGGAGCCUCCUUGGGGAGGCCUCUUCUGGACACGGGUCCCCUUGCUACCCCUUUGCUGGGACCACGUGGCUCUCUUGGAAAGAUCUGAUUUGUGGGCAGAGCUGCUUGUUCUGCUGACUAUCGGCCACGGCGGCACGGGUGGCAACUUCACAAAUUUGCUGUGGAGGGUUAGUCCUCCUGGGCGCUGCGCGCCCGCCCAGUCAGAAGGAUCCUGCUGCACUGCGUUCUGCUCCUGCACUCUGCUCAUCCCUGUGUGUCGCCGCCGCUUGACAGUGCCCGAAUCCCUGGCUCAGACUGUGCCUGUGGAAGUCAGGUACCGGGACCUGGAUGCUACUGGAAGAAGGGCUCACUGGGCCCAUGUGUGCGGAGAGGUUUGUGGACAAGUCCGGAGAUUUGUGAAAUCCUCCAUUGGCUUCAAGUUCAGAGAAAGUACUGGCCAUCCCUUCCUUGGAGCUUCUCUGGGGGACACCCCCUCUGUGCCUCAGAGAGCAGGCAUGUCUGAGUGCAUGAACUUUGGAGUCGCCUGUCCUUUUAGACAUCCUGGAGGAAGACAGGCAGGUAAUUCAGGAAGUUAACAGUCCAGGGCCAUAACCAGGAAGCAGCCUGAGCAUGGCAGGGCAGAGUGAGACCCUCAGUGCUAGGUUUGCCCCACCUGCUGUCACCUGUCUGAAUUGGAGAGGUCCCUCCUGGGCCACAGCCCACCUCAGCAUCUCGUACAAGCAGGAACACAAAGCCACCAGCCCGAGCCCAUCCUCCUGUUGUCAGAUUUAGUGUGAGAACAGACUGGGGUCUGGAGUUAGUAAGGCUUUCAGCCGGAGUCAACAGAAGUAGGAGGACCAGCCCUGUUCCCUGUGCCUCUAUGGGGAAGCAGGAGGCAUGGACACAUGAUGCAUGGCUCUGCACUCUCUUCUCCAGUGUCCCCAGCUGAGACUGUGACCUGCAGUGAGGCCUCAGAGGGGACUGUCAACCUGACCUGCAGGGCUUCUGGCUUCUAUCCCCAGAAUAGCCCCGAAUAUCCUGUGAUCUGGCUUCAGGAUGGGGAGUCCUUGAGCGUAGACACCCAGCAGUCUAAAGGUUUGGUGCUUAAUGGGAAUGGAACGUACCAGACCGGGUGGUCACCAGGGUUCCCCAAGGACAGGAGCAGAGGUUCAGCUGCCAGGUGGAACACGGCGGGAAGCACAGCACUCACCAUGUGCCCUGUGAUGAGUCUGGGUGGCCCUGCAGGGUUCUGACCUGGGUUGGGUCAGGAGCCAGAGGAGGAGGAGGAGCCUGAGGCUCCAGAUGCCCUGUGUAUAACAAGCCUGCUUCCAGGGAAGGCCUGGGGCUUCCGAAGUUGGAGGCUGUUGUUCUGGGUGCGGCUGUUGUUGUUGCUGCUCUUGCUGGGGUUGUUCUUUGAAAGACCACAUCUGCUGCAGAGGGUUCAGGUGAGACAUCCCAGCAGGGGUUGGAGGUGGCAGGGCCCAUGUGGGAUGUGACGUCCCCUCAUGACACCUGCUGCACACAGGGCAAUGGAGGGGAUGAUAUUUCCAGAAGAGUGGGUAGAAGUCAUGGUAUUUGUGAGGAACGAGAGCUGCAUCUCCAGGCGUGCCCUUAGUCCUGCUCAAGCCAAUGCCAGCCAGGGUCUUGAAGGUCCAACUGUGGCCUCUGCUGACCCCGACUGAGGUGGAGGCAGCAGUGGGGGCGGGGAUCCUGCUCUGCUCUUGUCCCCACCUCUCUCUCAGACUCCUGGACUGACCAGGUCCUGUUUAGGACUCAUUCACUCAUGAGAACAGGGUCAGUUCAGUAUUGCUACUUCAAGGGAACUGUUUCAAACCAGAGAAAGUGAAGUUAUUACUGACAGUGAGCAAUUUGGAAUCCACAAUGAUGUUGAAACUCUGGAUUGUGGAUGACUGAAGAGUCAGACUGUUGCAUUUACUUAAUCCCCCAAACUUCCCAUCUCAAUAACCAAGAAAAAUGAUAGACAUCUAGAUUUAGGGUAAAGCUUGCACUAGAGGGUUGGGAGGAACAUGGUGAGGAGAGGGAUCUCCUGCUGUUCUUCAUAAAAUGUGCAGUAGCCUUGAGAGAGCUUAGGUGAGCAGAGUGAGUUUGAGCGCAGGUGUCCACAGCCAGAUCUCUAGGCGGAGCACAGCACACACCAUGCAGUGAGGUAGCUGAGAUCUGAUCUUUGAUGUUUUUGAGGAAGAUCUCAGCGAACACAGAAAAACGAGUGAGGUGCAGGAAAAAUACUGGGGCAUUUUCCUCCCUCCAGAAAAGGCCCAGUCUGAUUUUAGGGCUUCUGAGCACAGAGAAGUCCUGAGGGAAUGAAAAGCCACAGUUUGUGCCAGUGAACACUUACCAUGUCCCUUCUCUCCCCAGAGCUCAAGAAGCUACAAAACCCAGGGAGCCAGCAGGUGGCGCCCGGCGACCGUAAUGGCCCCGCGCAGCUGGCAUUUCUGGUGCCUGCACCUGGGUCCCCUGGAGCCGCCUAGGGAGCAUAGGCUCCCCAGCCCAGGGCCCUAGUGGCAGCGCCCUCCCGGCUCUGACCAGCACUUUGUUUCUUGGUGCCUCAGUUUCAUCAUCUCCACAGUGGGGAGACUGACAUUCAUUCAUUGUCACGGGUGGAUGGGGUAAAAGUGUUAAUGUCUGUGCCGUUGUCAUAUAGGUCAGCGUUAGUUUUAGUCACCAGUUUUUGCUUUUUAAUUUUAUCCAUAGUUACUAUAUUGCACACGUUAUAUUUUUAUUAAUUAAUGUUAUGUUAUUAUGUUAGUUGGUCUCUUUCCAAGGAGUCUUAAUUUUAGUUUUCCUGGACCCUUGCUGUUCCCUCACUCCCUGUCACACAUUACUCAAAGUCCACAUAAUUUUAUGGAAUAAAUUUUAUGGUAUAAAUGUUUACACUGUCUUGAAAUAUACUUACAUGGUCUGUGUUUCGUUUCGUUUGUUUGGGAAGAGACAGUGUGUGGGCCUGGGGAAGA